AGAUUACUCCAUCCGUCCGAAAUAACUUGUCGCGGAAAUAAAUAGAAAUGGAUAUAUCUAGAGCUAAAAUAUGUGUAGAUACAUCCAUUUCUGUGACACAUAAUUCCAGACGGAGGGAGUACUUA
rfam:Triticum aestivum genome assembly, contig: Triticum_aestivum_CS42_TGACv1_scaffold_640707_T_7DL-0.181729_3DL-0.112766